CGCGUAGGCGGCUGUCCAAGUCGGGUGUGAAAGCCCGGGGCUCAACCCCGGAAUAGCACUCGAGACUGGGCGGCUUGAGGACGGGAGAGGAUGGUGGAAUUCCCAGUGUAGAGGUGAAAUUCGUAGAUAUUGGGAAGAACACCGGUGGCGAAGGCGGCCAUCUGGACCGUUUCUGACGCUGAGGCGCGAAAGCGUGGGGAGCAAACAGGAUUAGAUACCCUGGUAGUCCACGCCGUAAACGAUGAGUGCUAGACGUUGGGGCGCGUAGCGCUUCGGUGUCGCAGCUAACGCAUUAAGCACUCCGCCUGGGGAGUACGGCCGCAAGGUUAAA
rnacentral:rRNA from 1 species